UAUCAUUUACUUGUAAACACAAGUGCUAAUACGACGCUCUCUUCCGUCUUUCUGUGGUUUGUUAUUAUUAUUUCGCCCUUCAAAGAUGUGCUUACUGCCACCUAGCGCAUCAGACCACAAAACGUGAUUAAAAUCUACUCUAGUGUGCUAUUCGCAUUCAACGUGUUUGUUUUUAAUGCUGUCUAGUGUGGAAAUUCAGUGAGAUAUCCUCAGAUACACUCAGCAGUUCACAGUCUUACAGUAAUACUAUACUUAAGCUGUCACUGCAUUAACGUUACAUGACUGCUAAAUAAAAAUUAUAUACGUUUAAUUGACCGCCAAAUGCCCGUGUAACACUAAAUUAUUAAAGAUAUACAUUAAAAAAAAUCAAAAACCUGUAGCUGAAUAGUUGAUUUUUGUAAUCACAGAUAAAUUAUUCUUUUAUCUUCCCUUAAGAACAUCUACAAUUAGUAUGCACCACCGAGGAAGUUGGCAUAAUGCAUCGUUUGGUUUGAUGCUCAUUUGAGUCGGUUCUUCAAAGAAUCAUUAUCUGGUUAGUAAAACGAUUCGCGAUUCGUGAAUCGUUUAGAAUAGAUGGUUCAUACACGCACUUAAUUACUUGAAGCGGUAAAACUAUAACACGAAUAAGAAGUACAAAAACACUAGAUAAAGUGGGAAUAUGUACCUAUCCAUUAAAAAAAAAGCCUGAAAAGUGUCCUACCGUUUGCCUGUGAUGGAGAAGAUCAUGAUUAAGGGCAACACCUGCAGCUUGUGAACGACUCAGGUAAAGGCAUUUUCCAAACAACGAAAAAGUACUUAGUACCAAAAUUUACCAUAAUGCCACAUCAUAUAUGAAUAGAAUCAAGAGUAGGCCUAUAUCAUCGUUAUGUUUUACCAGUACGUUGAAGAAUCCACAGUCUUCUGUCAUCUCUUCCCCAUUCUCAGAGGGGUUUCCUGCACCAGCUUCCUUCCUUUGAGGUGCUAAUCAGCUAACGCAAGUAAGUAAAAGACCCCGUGGAGAGCUCCACCUCAUAUUUAACCAACACUAUUUUAAUAUUCCACUUUUUUUAUAACCCCAGCAGUGGUCGCAAAGUAAUUUCCUUCAGGUUUAAUUACAACCUCAUCUCCAAAGAGAAUACUUGUUUUUUUUUUUUUUUUAUUAGUGGUGUCGUGGUUACUUACUGUUCGGUCGGGUCGACAAAGUUAAUUUCCUUCUAGGUUUAAUUACAACCUCAUCUCCAAAGAGAAUACUUGUUUUUUUUUUUUUUUAAUUGUGGGCUGGUGUUACCUAUCGGUUCGGCCAUGUAAUGACAUGCCUGUGGGAUUCGGAUAGCACCAGAGUUGCUGCAUAAGUUGCUCAUAGUCUCUCCUGGGCAUGCUUAACAAAAUGCACCACUGCCCGUAGCUUUCCCCCAGGAGCUUAAGGUGGAAGUCCACACAGCAUUUCAUUAAAGCCGAUGUGGAGCCAGCCACAGGGACAUGGCCACAUAAUUCAUUUGGAAGUACACUGUCUCCUGCAUCCCCUGUAUCCAUUCCCAGGUGUUUCUGAGUAACCUUAUGGCUUCUCGCAUUCAGGGGAUGCUUUCCAUCACAUUUCUUUCAUGUGGCACAUAGCGGUGCCUCAUUUUCUAUUUCCUAUCCUUGUGUGUCCUUUUACGCCGUAUCAGCUAAUAGAAAAAAAGUUACAUGAAAAAAUGAAAACGUAAAAUUAAAUUUUUCUGAAAAUGUAUUCCCCCUUAGGCCAUCCAAGAUGUAGAUGAGUUUUUUUUUCAUCAAAACAGAUUUGAAGAAAUGUAACAUUACAUCACAUGCUUACAGUGGAUCCUCUGUAGUGAAUGGGUGCCGUCAGAAUGAAAGUCCAAACUGCUGAUAAAUAUGUCACAAUAGUCCACAAGUAUUCCACACAACUCUGGCCAAUCGAUUAACAAAUUGUGAAGUAAAAAGCUGCAUGUUUGUGAGAACCAAAUCUACUGUAUAAUCAAGUCGUUUUUUAUUUUAAAUCCUUACGUUUGGCCAAAAUACAAGCUCGCAAUCCUUAAUAACGCUUCCUCUAAUGAAAAAAAAAAUCCACCCCCUGUUGUCCUC
rnacentral:lncRNA from 1 species